GAGUUUGAUCCUGGCUCAGAACGAACGCUGGCGGCAGGCCUAACACAUGCAAGUCGAACGGGUCCUUCGGGACUAGUGGCGGACGGGUGAGUAACGCGUGGGAACGUGCCCUUUGGUUCGGAAUAGCCCCGGGAAACUGGGAGUAAUACCGGAUGAGCUCUUCGGAGGAAAGAUUUAUCGCCAAAGGAUCGGCCCGCGUUGGAUUAGGUAGUUGGUGGGGUAAUGGCCUACCAAGCCGACGAUCCAUAGCUGGUUUGAGAGGAUGAUCAGCCACACUGGGACUGAGACACGGCCCAGACUCCUACGGGAGGCAGCAGUGGGGAAUCUUAGACAAUGGGGGAAACCCUGAUCUAGCCAUGCCGCGUGAUCGAUGAAGGCCUUAGGGUUGUAAAGAUCUUUCAGCUGGGAAGAUAAUGACUGUACCAGCAGAAGAAGCCCCGGCUAACUCCGUG
rnacentral:rRNA from 1 species